UAAUCCUUUAAAAAUAGUCCAGAGAGGCUAAGAAGGAGCAGCAGGUUCUUUAUACGUACCCGUGAGUACUGAUAAAGUCCCUUUGAAUAGGUGAACUUUAAUUUAUUGACCUUUUCAUACCUAAUAGAAAUAUUUGGGAGCACUCUUAUCUUAACUGGAUAAGAGUGCUUUUUUU
rfam:Alkalibacterium sp. 20 contig30, whole genome shotgun sequence.